UACGGAGGGUGCAAGCGUUAUCCGGAAUUAUUGGGCGUAAAGAGCUCGUAGGCGGUUUGUCGCGUCUGCCGUGAAAGUCCGGGGCUCAACUCCGGAUCUGCGGUGGGUACGGGCAGACUAGAGUGAUGUAGGGGAGACUGGAAUUCCUGGUGUAGCGGUGAAAUGCGCAGAUAUCAGGAGGAACACCGAUGGCGAAGGCAGGUCUCUGGGCAUUAACUGACGCUGAGGAGCGAAAGCAUGGGGGAGCGAACAGG
rnacentral:rRNA from 1 species